CACACACGCACGCUCAGGGCCACAGUCGCACGCCCUUCGCGAUCACACACACACACACACACAGACACACACCGCCAGACUGGGGUUCCUUAUGCCCCUGCAUGGUGACGGCGGAUUGGCAUCUUGGAAGCGAUGCAAGAGCGAUAAGGCUGGCGCUGGCCCGCGGAAACUGCCGGAGCAUCGCUAGGUGUUGCCUCCACCGGGAAGCCGGGCUGCAGGAUGAGUAAGAGAUACUUACAGAAAGCAACAAAAGGAAAACUUAUAAUAAUAAUAUUUAUUGUAACCUUGUGGGGAAAGGUUGUACUCAGUGCAAACCAUCAUAAAGCUCACCAUGUUAAAACGGGCACUUGCGAGGUGGUGGCACUCCACAGAUGCUGUAAUAAGAACAAGAUAGAAGAGCGGUCACAAACAGUCAAGUGCUCCUGCUUCCCCGGGCAGGUGGCAGGCACCACGCGAGCUGCUCCAUCUUGUGUGGAUGCUUCAAUAGUGGAACAGAAAUGGUGGUGCCAUAUGCAGCCAUGUCUUGAGGGAGAAGAAUGUAAAGUUCUUCCAGAUCGGAAAGGAUGGAGCUGUUCUUCUGGGAAUAAAGUAAAAACAACUAGGGCAAACGUGUAGAAUUCUUCAAGUUCGCAUGGAGAAGUAGAAAGAGAAGGUUUCUGCUGUGCCUGAUGACAAUUUUUGAUUUUUUCCACACUCAAAAAAAAAUCCUUGCUCUAUGUUGGAGCACUAUAGUGGCGAAUACUAGUAUAUUGGUCGGAUUCUAAGGAAGGGACAGAAGUUUCCUUGAGGAAUAAAGAUUCAAAACAACUCCAGAAAUGAUCUCUCAUCUCGGUUUAUUUCUCACAGACAGCAGGUCACACACUGAAUUAUCAGCAGAACAGAGCAUUGAACCUAGACAGCGUGGCUUCAAGGUAACCCAUUAACCCAGGAUAAGUCAGGUGAUCGUCAAAGCUGAUUACAUUGAACAUAUGCAUAGAAACUUUACUCCUGAGGGGAUAUUGGAGAGAUUUUUAUACAGUUCUGAAGAUGCAUGUCAAACUCUUAUUUCCAAGAGAUUUUGUGGCUCAUAAUCAGCAUAUUUCUGAAAUGAAGACUUUUAAAAAAAUCCUACAUGAUGUUCUGUGUCAUGAAGAUUUUAUCAGAUUUGAACUGUGUUCAAACACUUGUAAAACUGCACUUGCUUAAAGAAUUCGAAGUUGCCAGUCUGUAGAGUUGGUGAAAAGUUGGUUAUUUGAGUGACACCAGAGAUAUCUUUUGGACUCUUGUUCCAAACGUGACUG